GAGCGGCAGCGCGGGGCACCUGGCGGCGAGCGGCGAACGGGUUAGUAAUGCAUCGGAACAUGUCCUGUCGUGGGGGAUAGCCCGGCGAAAGCCGGAUUAAUACCGCAUACGUCCGAGAGGAGAAAGUGGGGGACCGCAAGGCCUCACGCGAUUGGGUUGGCCGAUGUCCGAUUAGCUAGUUGGUGGGGUAAAGGCCUACCAAGGCGAUGAUCGGUAGCUGGUCUGAGAGGAUGAUCAGCCACACUGGGACUGAGACACGGCCCAGACUCCUACGGGAGGCAGCAGUGGGGAAUUUUGGACAAUGGGGGCAACCCUGAUCCAGCCAUUCCGCGUGAGUGAAGAAGGCCUUCGGGUUGUAAAGCUCUUUUGUCCGGAACGAAACGGCUACGGUGAAUAAUCGUGGCUACUGACGGUACCGGAAGAAUAAGCACCGGCUAACUACGUGCCAGCAGCCGCGGUAAUACGUAGGGUGCGAGCGUUAAUCGGAAUUACUGGGCGUAAAGCGUGCGCAGGCGGUUUUGUAAGCCAGAUGUGAAAUCCCAGGGCUUAACCUGGGAAUGGCAUUUGGGACUGCAAGGCUGGAGUGCGGCAGAGGAGACUGGAAUUCCUGGUGUAGCAGUGAAAUGCGUAGAUAUCAGGAGGAACACCGAUGGCGAAGGCAGGUCUCUGGGCUGACACUGACGCUCAUGCACGAAAGCGUGGGGAGCAAACAGGAUUAGAU
rnacentral:rRNA from 1 species